UGGUACUUAGAAUGCAGUGGGAACUUCGGUUAGAGGGUGCGAGGGGCGAGAAAGUGUAAAGAGAUGUACAUCAAGUCUGUGUGUCAGUGUUUGCUCAACGCAAAUAGACUUUAUGUCAACUCUGGCUCCCUCCAUCCUUACCUGAGCUCUGGAGGACAGGACCAUGUCCAACUCAUCCAGGACCUUGGAGCAGUACUGCAAGUGAACUAUGUGUGGUGAAAGACUAGCGUUUUACUUUCCCAAUCCAUUGCAGACUGGUACUUUCAUUAAAAUACAAUAAUACGUGACAAUGUCAUUUUGCUACAAACA